CAGACGUUUAACGGACUGAGCCACGCAGGCGCCCCUCAAUUCAUCUUUUAAACAAUGCUGCAGUAAACACACAGUGGGCACACAGUGGCCCCUGGAAGGCUGGCAGGCUCAGAACUUGGCUCACAGGAGUGCUGCCUGAUGAGGGCCAGAGAGGGGAGCCACUGGGGGGUGGGGCGCCCUGACCACUCACAGGAGGGGCGGAACAUGGGAUUUUACUUGAGUCCUGAAGAAGAAUCUGCAGAACCUGGUAGGGCAGAUAAGGCAGGGGCAGGACUCAAACACGGCAUAAGCGGGUUCUAGUCCCAUCAGCAGAUCCCACUGGUCUGAUCGUCUAAGUGGAUCCCAGAGUGAGUCCAUUCUGAUCCCCCCAACCACUACCCCAGCCUGGCCCCUGGGCCAGGGAAGUGGCUUCUCACUGGUCUCUGUACUUCUAGCCUAUUCUCCCCAGAACAGAUGGAAUGAUCCUUAUAAAAGUUAUUCCCAGUGGGCUGAGCUGAUGAGACGGAGCUGGGUGAAGACAUCCAGCAGAUAAUGAGAUGACCCUGGGUUUUCUCGAUGGGCCCGGCAUCAUCACAAGGGUCCUCACGUGGGGAUGAGAAGAGCCGAAGAUUCAGAACCAGAGAGACGGUGUCUUGUGGGAGAUUUGCAGACUUUGACCAGGGAGGCAGGGGCCAUGAGCCAAGGAAUGGGGACGGCCUCUCCAAGCUCGAGAAGGCGGGGAUACCUGUUUCCCUCCUCCAGAGCCUCCAGAAAGGAAUGCAUUUCUGCCAACACCUUCGUUUUAGCUCAGUGAGGCCCAGUUUGGACUUCUGACCCACAGAACUCUCAGCUGGAAGGUCCUCAGGGUGGGGACCCUGUGUGUCUUCACGGCCCCAGCCCGUGAUGCCCGGCCCGGAGCGGGCAUCUGAGUGAAAGAACGGGUGGAAACCACCUGGUCUCUUCACUGUCAAUGUGCCGGACUCCUUCAGGCGCUGCCUGGUGGGACCCUGCGUGGAGCCCAGGCAGGGAGGGCGGGAAGUCGGGAGCUAUCCGCAGGGUCGGGGAGAGACGCCGUCCUUUUGCUGCCAGCCCCAGGUCCAGUAUGAUCUCCAGGCUGUCGCCAGAUAUGAGCUUGGCUCUGUGUGGGAGGCGGCUACCCUUUAGUAAUGCGUAUUUCCAGGGAAUUUGCUCCAAGACGUUGUUCGUUGUUCGAGAUCUGAUGGAAUCAAGCAGAUACCUGCUACUCUUCGAAAGGUCACCUUUUCAACCUGCUGAGUGGACGGAUUUACACUUCAGAGAGAAGGGAUGGACUUAGCUGACCAGUUCUUACAUAAUCAGCCUGAGAGUCUGAAUAUAAAAAUGACCAACGCCAAAGCAAAUGUAAAGAUAGAACUUUGACCCACAGGCUGCUGCUGCCCGCCCCGGACAUCAGCGCCGCCCCCCACCCCCCCCCACAGUAAACAGUAAACAACCCGGGAGGCCAGGCUGCUGUAAAUCAGACUUGCAGGAAGCCGGGUUCCUUGCUCCCGUGAGGAUCUACUACUAAGCUAAAUGGCUUCCAUGACAAUGGACCCAGAAUGACCAGCUCAUGAUUAAGAACUGACAGUGAUUAAGAACUGACAGCUUCCCUAAUUUCUGUCCCCUCUUCCAAUUUAGGACUAGCCAGAGAAAACCAAGUAGGUCCCCCUGAACAAUCACAUAGGACAGCCCCUUGCAGUCAGCCCCCUGCAGAUUCCCGGGGCCAACAGCUUCCAAUCAGGGCACCCCCCACCCUCCCCGAAGCCUUCCCUUCUUCCAGUGCAAGCCUUCCCCACCCUGCCUGCCUUGAAUCUUGGCCAAAAUGCAAGUGACCCUGGCUGGCCCCACUCCUUGGCCUUUGCU